GGCAAAUUUUGCACAUUUUUCAGUAUUAUGAUGAAUUGGAUAUUUUUUUAAAAAAGAAGUGCGAGGUUAGAAUGCGAAAGGCUAACAAUUGAUGCGUGAAGCAAAAGUUAGAAGAAGAGUGAUGCAAGUAAUUCGAGUGGAAUGAUAAUGGAAAACUCUACAAGAACCUGCCACUGUUGUGUAUCAUUCAUUGCCGCCGCUGUUGUUGCCAUAUAUGCUAGAGAUGUUUGUCAUUCCUGCCUAGUAAUAUAAUUUGUGUUGAUGUGG
rnacentral:misc_RNA from 1 species